AGUCGUACGCUUCUUUUUCCACCGGAGCUUGCUCCACCGGAAAAAGAAGAGUGGCGAACGGGUGAGUAACACGUGGGUAACCUGCCCAUCAGAAGGGGAUAACACUUGGAACCAGGUGCUAAUACCGUAUAACAAUCGAAACCGCAUGGUUUUGAUUUGAAAGGCGCUUUCGGGUGUCGCUGAUGGAUGGACCCGCGGUGCAUUAGCUAGUUGGUGAGGUAACGGCUCACCAAGGCCACGAUGCAUAGCCGACCUGAGAGGGUGAUCGGCCACAUUGGGACUGAGACACGGCCCAAACUCCUACGGGAGGCAGCAGUAGGGAAUCUUCGGCAAUGGACGAAAGUCUGACCGAGCAACGCCGCGUGAGUGAAGAAGGUUUUCGGAUCGUAAAACUCUGUUGUUAGAGAAGAACAAGGAUGAGAGUAACUGUUCAUCCCUUGACGGUAUCUAACCAGAAAGCCACGGCUAACUACGUGCCAGCAGCCGCGGUAAUACGUAGGUGGCAAGCGUUGUCCGGAUUUAUUGGGCGUAAAGCGAGCGCAGGCGGUUUCUUAAGUCUGAUGUGAAAGCCCCCGGCUCAACCGGGGAGGGUCAUUGGAAACUGGGAGACUUGAGUGCAGAAGAGGAGAGUGGAAUUCCAUGUGUAGCGGUGAAAUGCGUAGAUAUAUGGAGGAACACCAGUGGCGAA
rnacentral:rRNA from 1 species